UAAUGACUCACUAAAUUAAGCUCCUACCCACGAAUUGGUCCCCGCCCACCCUUUGGAACCUCUGCUGUAGCCAGUGGGGAUCACGGAGGGUUCCCAGCAGGGGAGCAACCCGAUCAGAAGGGGCAUUAGGUCAGUGCUGACCAAAUGUUCUCAGGCGAAGGACCGAUUCUGUAAAUUUCCAAACUGUCAUGUACUUUACUUUUUUUUUUUUAAAGAUUUUAUUUUUUCCUUUUUCUCCCCAAAGCCCCCCAGUACAUAGUUGUACAUUCUUCGUUGUGGGUCCUUCUAGUUGUGGCAUGUGGGAUGCCGCCUCAGCGUGGUCUGAUGAGCAGUGCCAUGUCCGCGCCCAGGAUUCGAACCAACGAAACACUGGGCCGCCUGCAGUGGAGCGCGCGAACUUAACCACUCGGCCACGGGGCCAGCCCCCGUGUACUCUACUUUUUAAAAAUACAAUAAGAAUGAAUUAUUAGAAAACGAAAUAGCCAAGACAGAAGAAAAGGCAAGCCUGAUUCGUUACUAUUAGCUUCGGCAGACACUGAGGAGGGGCUCCAUGAACGCGCUGUUAGGUGGACACCAGCUUGGGGUUAGAGGCGUGAGGCGCUUGCCAGUCCUUUUGAUGCCCUCAAGCCCUUGACAUGUGGCCACACCUGCCCUGCCAAUCUGUUCUGUAGCCGUUCCAAUUUGCAUAGUCUGCAGGGCUUUGCUAAGGAGAGAGGCGCUGUGCAGGCUCCUGCCCUGUCAACACAGCCCAGCUGCCUGAGUUCGCAUCCUGCUUCUGCCACUAACUGGCUGUGGGCCGUGGAUAAAGGGCUUCACCUCUCCAAACCUCGGUUUCCUCCUCGGACUGUCCUGGGAGAUUAAGAAAGCAAUCCACACUGCGGGGCUUGACUCAGGGCCAGAACCGGGUUUACACCUCACCUUCCAGCUCUCACAGCUGUGAUUCUGUUGUUGUUUUCUGUCUUUCUGAGUCAGGCUCAUCCUCUCGGGUCCCUUCUCUUUGCCCCUCACUGGCCACGUAGGCCAAGCCUUCUCCCUGCCUCAGCUCUUCGCUUCUUCUCUCCCUCGCGCGUCAGAAGAUGGCUUACAUCCUACUUGGCAGAGAAAACGGCGAGCUUCCUCCCCCAGCUUCCUUCUCCUCCAGGUUCUCCUCACUCCUACAUCCUUCCUCCGGGCUGACCCUCCACCUGAGCCCCACUUACCUGCCUCUCUUCGCUCCAUUGCUAGGAGCUUCUUUCCAUCAGUGAUUCCCUCCCUCUUCUGGGAAUCCUUCCAAAGUCACAUCUCUGGUCACUCCUCAGCCUAAGGCAGUCUGCCCUGUGGUGUGCUGCUAAAUGUCUAACAACAGGCCCUCUGGAGAGAAAAUGUAUGCAUAUAUACGCAGAUAUGAGUUUAUUAUAAAUUUUAUUGACAUAAAGAAUGUUUAGCAAUUUACAAAUAAUAAAAUAUACAAUAUUCUUCAUUGUAAUUGCAUAUAGCAAAUUGAAUCUUACAGAAAACUUUCACUGAUUUUUACCAACCUGCUAAAUCCAUAACCAACCUAUAAUUGUAACUGACAAAUGAGUGCACUUUUGACACAAAUGUUGGCUGAUAUUUUCGUUUGUGCCAACUACUAAGAAAAAAGUGAAACAAUGAAGAUGCAUGUGGGAACUGCACUCAUUUGUCAAUGGUGUAAGCAACUUCUUUACUGAAUCAGAUAUAGUUUUUGAAUACUGAAAGAACAUUUGCUCAAUUUUUCUGUGCUAUUCACAAUGUAAUGGCUACAGGCACAACAUACAUUUAAGUUUAAAGUGCAUUAUUAACAUUUUCUCCAUAACUUUCCUAAGUGUAGACAGUCAACAAAACAAUAACUCAAGCCCUGAUUUCUGGUGUUUGCCAGUUUCCACGGUGUAAAUGUUCCCACUGUGGCCAAUUUCAAGGUACCAAAGUGAUGUCACUGAAUGCAUACUUGGGAAGAACAGGGCAGCUGCAUAACGUUAUAUAGUAUUUGCACAGACACAAUAGAUGUAAAUAACCUUAAAAGCAUAAACAAUAAAUGAUGAGGAUUUUAGGCUGGUUACUUUUAAAACUGUAGAUGAGAAGCAGGCUCUGAGGACUGGAAUUUGCUUGCUCUUCCAGAGAUAUGUGCACUUGUGAAGGAAGUGGGGAUGACCUUGUAGGGACCUGAAAUUGGCCACCCCAGGAUAUGUCUCUUUGGAAUCGGGAUUGUUUGGGGCUGAUUGUUUUGGGACAGGGAAGGAGGCUCUGAGGAACGGAACUUGCCCUUGUUGGGACACAUUUACAUUUGUAAGGUAAAUCUCUAUCUGUAAAAGGUGCCUCCCUCUCUGUACCAGGAAGGAGAAGAGAGAUGACCUUGUCCCUAGAAACUCUUAAUGGGGAAGGCAAGAACUUAAGUUGGUUGCUGUCUGGCAAUCUCAUGCAACUGAUUUAGGGUGGUGGCUUCUAACCUUUCUAACCUUUACUUAAUCCGAUUUGAUUCUUGUCUAAAAGUCAUGGGAUCACCCAAUGACCAGACCCCACCUGCACUGAUACCAUUUUAACUUUUUUUCAUGUUCUUUCCUUUGUCUUGUAAAGAGAUGACUCACAUACCCAUGCCUUAUAAAAUUAGCCCUAACCCUCAACUCUGCCCGUGGGUCCUGUCCCCACGCACCAGCUCUGCCUGCCCAUGGGUCCUGUCCCCAUGCCAGCAGGGGCAGCAGAGGCAGCAGCAGCAGCAGCUGUGACUGCCCGUGGGUCCUGUCCCUACACACCAGCUCUGGCUGCCCAUGGGUCCUGUCCCCAUGCCAGCAGGGGCAGCAGAGGCAGCAGCAGCAGCAGCUGUGACUGCCCAUGGGUCCUGUCCCCACACACCAGCUCUGGCUGCCCAUGGGUCCUGUCCCCAUGCCCGCGGCAGCAGCUCUGACUGCCCAUGGGCCCUGUCCCCAUGCUAUUCCACACUAUUCUCUAAAUAAAAGAGCACUACUGCCAGAUCUUGAGAGUCCAAGAAAUCUUUCUUUUGACUCCUCGGCUCACCGAUCCCGCAUCAAUAAAAUACUGUAAAAUUCUUAGGAAGUGAUGAGUUUUGAGUAUUUAUCUUUGUGUGUGUUUUUUGGUUUUUUUGAGGAAGAUUAGCCCUGAGCUAACAUCUGCUGCCAAUCUUCCUCUUGCUGAGGAAGACUGGCCCUGGGCUAACAUGCCUGCCCAUCUUCCUCUACUUUAUACGUGGGACACCUACCACAGCAUGGCUUGACAAGUGGUGCCAUAUCCGCACCUGGGAUCUGAACUGGCAAACCCUGGGUCGCCGAAGCGGAAGGUGCAAAAUUAACCACUGUGCCACCGGGCCGGCCCCUCUUUGUUUUUAAUAUAACUUAUUUAAUUGUAAUUUUAUAUAAUUUUUUUUUUAAAGAUUGGCACCUGAGCUAACAACUGUCGCCAAGGCAGGGACUGGAGAGUGGGGAUUCUGGAAUCGCUUUGGAACAGAAGUGGAACAGUUCUGCGUGAUGACAAUGCUCGAUGGCUGAGGAGGGUAUGGACCACGAGGCCAGGCUGUUCCCAGAAUACGGGGUCAUGGGCUGGCGGCACGUUUACAUUCCUGUCACACCCCCUGUCAGCUAGCCACCCUGCAACCCUGUGUCUCACAGCCCCAGAGCUCCUGGGGGCAGGGCUGGUGCUCAGGCACAGAGCAGGCCCUGGUCACAGGCCUGGCUGCUCCCCACCAACACCCCCGGGACAGUUCCAGGCUAAGGCUUGAUCUUCAGGCAGGAGGAAGGAGGGCCAACCUCAGCCAGAGGCCCCAGAAAGCUGAAAAUCCCCAGGGCUUGAAGGUCAGAGCUCCCUCUGAGGGUGUCCAUAUGCUCCUCCCAGCACUCUCUCUCUACCUCGUCAGGACCCAGGGGACACAAGAACCUGGGAGUCUCUUCAGGGAGAGUUUUCACAGACUGGAUCUGAGGACAGUCACACACUGGUCCCAGAACAUUUGCCUUCCGGUUCCCUCUGCCUCCUGAGGGGACACAACCCAGUGGGCUGGAAAGCUCAGCUUCAGAGGCAGGCCGCUCCACCUCUCACCCACAUGGUGGCUGUGGGAAAGCUACCUGGCCUCUGUUUCCUCUUUCAGAAAAUGAAAACAAUAGGACCAACCCAACAAGCAGUUAAGAAGAUUAAAUGAGAUAAUGCAGACAGAGCACUUAGGCCAAACCCAGAGCAAGCUCAUACUGACCGUGAGGAUUACACAGAGCUACGGAAAACCCUCACAGAGUAGACCAAAAACAGCCUCAGUAACAAUCUGUCGGCGAUGCUGCUAUAAGGGUCCCGUCUGGUCAUAUGAUAGUGACUGGGAAAGGCCAGGAAUGACAAAAGAAAAGAAAAGCUUGCCCCCUCCCAGGAAGUGGCAGACUCUAGGACAGUGGGUGCCCAUGACUGCUUUAGAGGUUAUGGAUCCACCCCUCACUGCACAGCUGAGGAAACAGGCUCAGAGACAAUGGGUGGUGUGCCUGAGACCACAUUGCAGGUUUGUGACAGUAGUUGGACAAGAGGACAUAGCUUCCAGUUUGUUCUUGGUGCGGCCAGUUUAUCUUCUCAGAUAUUAAUUUGUGUUUAGAUGGUUGCGUUUUCUUCCCCCUCCCACUCCAAGAAGUUCUUGGAUCAGUCCUCUUUGAGUUUCAGGACCAGAUACAACAGCCCCAGGCCCUCCUCUCCUUUCUGUUUUCCUGAGCCUGGGCUCCUUGCAGACUCUGAGGGCAGUGUCUUGAAGGUCAUGCUGACUAUGAGAGGGGAGAGAGAAGAGGAAACUGAGGAGUGGGGAGAGGAGCAAGAAUGUGCUCUCCACCCCGAGGGGGCAGCCUCAGAGGUGGGGAGGCAGGGCUCUGGACAUGAAUGCAUCAAGGAGCCUGGGGACAAGAGUCUGAGCCACACAGGGCACCUGGCCCAUGAGAGCAAACGGCGCAUGGAAGUGCCCCUUUCCUGGGCAGCCCCGUGAGCCUCCUGGAUUCUAGGGUAACCCUUACUGGGAGGGGACCUAUACCGACCGUGAUGGAAUUUCCUCCUAGUCAGGCAAGAUGGGAGCUCAGGGUUGCAACUAGUUGAUCUCAGGAGCAUCUGCUGCCCUGGUGAGAUGGCAGACUGAGAAUCACACUGUCCACAUGAGGCACUGCUCAGUCCCCUUCAUGAUGUCAUUCCCAUGACAAUAUCACCCAUUUGUAUAGGGCUUUACAAAGUGCCUCCACAAUCGUCUAUUGGGUCCCUGAGAUUCCGCCUGUUAACCAGAUGAAAAAACCAGAGCUCAGAAAACAGACUGGAUUUGCUCAAGUUCACACAGAUAGUAAGAGAACUAGGACGAAACCCCAGUUCUCCUGACCCCUAGAGAGUGCUCUUCACAAGAUGUCACUGCCCACCCUGUACUGCUCUUUGUACACAGCUGGCCUCCAGGCCACCAGCCGAGCCAGCUCUCUAGGAGAGCACACGUCGCUGUCACCUAGGUUCCAGGGUCGGCCUGGGACAGGCCUCUGCAGGAGAAACAAGGCCUGCAGGCAGCAUGUGGGCAGGCCUGCCUUUCCUAGGUGGCCCUGCCUUGGGGACUUUGCAGGAUGCAGUGACAGCUUUCUAGAUGCUCACCUAAC
ensembl:lncRNA